rnacentral:rRNA from 1 species
GUGGGGAAUCUUGCGCAAUGGGCGAAAGCCUGACGCAGCCAUGCCGCGUGAAUGAUGAAGGUCUUAGGAUUGUAAAAUUCUUUCACCGGGGACGAUAAUGACGGUACCCGGAGAAGAAGCUCCGGCUAACUUCGUGCCAGCAGCCGCGGUAAUACGAAGGGGGCUAGCGUUGCUCGGAAUUACUGGGCGUAAAGGGCGCGUAGGCGGACUGCUUAGUCAGAGGUGAAAGCUCAGGGCUCAACCGUGGAAUUGCCUUUGAUACUGGCUGUCUGGAGUUUGGGAGGGGUGAGUGGAACUCCGAGUGUAGAGGUGAAAUUCGUAGAUAUUCGGAAGAACACCAGUGGCGAAGGCGACUCACUGGCCCAAUACUGACGCUGAGGCGCGAAAGCGUGGGGAGCAAACAGGAUUAGAAACCCCAGUAGUCC